rnacentral:lncRNA from 1 species
UAUACUAAAGUUAUGGUGCGAAAACCAAUAAUAAUGCUUACUUGGGCCCCUUUUUGGCCCCUAAUUCCUAAACUGUUCAGACCUCAACUCCCAAAAUCAAUCCUAACCUUCCUUUUGUGGUCAUAAACCUUGUGUCAAAAUUUCAUAGAUUUUUAUUUACUUAAACUAAAGUUAUAGUGCGAAAACCAAGAACAUGCUUAUUUUGGCCCUUUUUGGCCCCUUAUUCCUAAAAUGUUGGGACCAAAACUCCCAAAAUCAAUCCCAACCUUCCUUUUGUGGUCAUAAACCUUGUGUUCCAAUUUCAUAGAUUUCUAUUCACUUUUACUAAGGUUAGAGUGCGAAAACUAAAAGUAUUCGGACGACGAC